rnacentral:rRNA from 1 species
GACGAACGCUGGCGGCGUGCUUAACACAUGCAAGUCGAACGGAAAGGCCCUGCGUUUGUGGGGUGCUCGAGUGGCGAACGGGUGAGUAACACGUGAGUAACCUGCCCUUGACUUUGGGAUAACUUCAGGAAACAGGGGCUAAUACCGGAUAGGAGCUCCUGCUGCAUGGUGGGGGUUGGAAAGUUUCGGCGGUUUGGGAUGGACUAGCGGCUUAUCAGCUUGUUGGUGGGGUAGUGGCUUACCAAGGCUUUGACGGGUAGCCGGCCUGGGAGGGUGACCGGCCACAUUGGGACUGAGAUACGGACCAGACUCCUACGGGAGGCAGCAGUGGGGAAUAUUGCACAAUGGGCGGAAGCGUGAUGCAGCAACGCCGCGUGCGGGAUGACGGCCUUCGGGUUGUAAACCGCUUUCGCCUGUGACGAAGCGUGAGUGACGGUAAUGGGUAAAGAAGCACCGGCUAACUACGUG